rnacentral:tRNA from 1 species
GCGGAAGUGGUGGAAUUGGCAGACACGCCAUCUUGAGGGGGUGGUGCCGAAAGGCGUGAGGGUUCAAAUCCCUCCUUCCGCA